AAAGACUAACCAAAGAGAGUAUAUUCAAAAGCUUUUGAAUUUGUCCCCUGCCGAGCUGAGUAAGCAUGCUGUAGAGUUGGAGAAAAGAACAAUCCAGUUGGCACAAGAGGAAGGAAAAGAGAUGCAACGAAUGAACGCACUCAACAUUUUUAGGAAUUCUGGUAAAUGAACGACUCUUCGCAGUAAACUCAUUUAUUGGGCAAACUUGUGGAGCUGAAGCACCUAUAUGGAUUUCUUGUGUAGUUCAAUUUGACGUAGCCUUAAAUGGAAGCUCUUCAUUAACCAUACUGCAAUUAGAUUAAUAGCUUAGCUUCUAUUUUCUGUACUAUCUUUUUGGAAAGUGUUAUAAUUACUCUAGUCAAAUUGUGCUCUAUUUCAUCAAACCAUUGAUCCUCUUUAGGAAAUAUGCAACAAGCUAGCAGAUUUUUAUUUUUAUUUUUUUAAAAUAAUUGAGCUGUUCCGCUUCUUUCCUUGUAUUCUUUAGUUUUCUGUUUAAAAUCUAUGUAUUAUUGGUUGAAAUUAAAUAAAGUGGUCGGAUUAGCAUUGAA